rnacentral:rRNA from 1 species
CAGUAGCCGCGGUAAUACGUAGGUGGCAAGCGUUGUCCGGAUUUACUGGGCGUAAAGGGCGCGUAGGCGGACUGAUAAGUCAGGGGUGAAAUCCCAAGGCUCAACCUUGGAACUGCCUUUGAUACUGUUUGUCUUGAGUUCGAGAGAGGUAAGUGGAACUGCGAGUGUAGAGGUGAAAUUCGUAGAUAUUCACAAGAACACCGGUGGCGAAGGCGGCUCACUGGUCCGGAACUGACGCUGAGGCACGACAGCGUGGGGAGCAAACAGGAUUAGAUACCCCUGUAGUCCCUGUCUCUUAUAC